UACGGGGGGGGCAAGCGUUGUUCGGAAUUACUGGGCGUAAAGGGCUCGUAGGCGGCCAACUAAGUCAUACGUGAAAUCCCUCAGCUUAACUGGGGAACUGCGUGUGAUACUGGAUGGCUUGGAUUUGGGAGAGGGAUGCGGAAUUCCAGGUGUAGCGGUGAAAUGCGUAGAUAUCUGGAGGAACACCGGUGGCGAAGGCGGGUCUCUGGGCCGAUACUGACGCUGAGGAGCGAAAGCGUGGGGAGCGAACAGG
rnacentral:rRNA from 1 species